GCGGGGAUGGCAGAGCGGUCCAAUGCACCAGCCUUGAGAGCUGGCGAGCGCAAGCUCACGCGAGUUCGAAUCUCGUUCCCCGCG
rnacentral:tRNA from 1 species